AUUGAACGCUGGCGGCAGGCCUAACACAUGCAAGUCGAACGAGCGGCGGACGGGUGAGUAAUGUAUGGGGAUCUGCCCGAUCGAGGGGGAUAACUACUGGAAACGGUGGCUAAUACCGCAUACUAUCGGCUGGGCCCAUAUGGGAUUAGCUAGUAGGUGGGGUAAAGGCUCACCUAGGCGACGAUCCCUAGCUGGUCUGAGAGGAUGAUCAGCCACACUGGGACUGAGACAAGGCCCAGACUCCUACGGGAGGCAGCAGUGGGGAAUAUUGGACAAUGGGCGAAAGCCUGAUGCAGCAAUGCCGCGUGUAUGAAGAAGGCUUUAGGGUUGUAAAGUACUUUCAUCGGGGAGGCGUUACCCGACGAAGAAGCACCGGCUAACUCCGUGCCAGCAGCCGCGGUAAUUC
rnacentral:rRNA from 1 species